rnacentral:snoRNA from 1 species
CAGGGAUCUAUCUCCAUGACUAUGCCUCAUAAUUAGAUAGUUGCGGUAAACGAAUCCCAUAAAUUAGAUUAGAGGUCACGUUCUUUUUGCAGAAUGGAAAGGUUGGCUUUCGAGCAUCCGUUACACUUAUUCCAUUUUGAAUGCGUGAUAAAUUU